CGUGAAGAGCUCGAAUGUGUCUUCAUCUGCACUCAAAGGAGACGGGAGUUUUAUGGCUUCUCGUAAUGGGUCUGGACUAUAUUCCACACCUGACAAAAUGCCAACCAGCUUUGGAUGGAAAGACGUAUCCUGCAAAGAAUGCAAACAUUUACAUUGUUCUCUCCGAUACUACAAUCAACACAAUGGACACUUUGAUGAAUAAUAAUUUCCUGGCAUCAUAAAAUGUUUGGCUGCGUUGAGUCAUAGCAUCCUUUUAUGGUGAACUUCACAAUUUUUUUCUCACAAAAAUAGGACAAAAACAGUUUAAUAUUCAUUUUCUGUUUUUAAUGUAUUAUUCAGCACA